rnacentral:rRNA from 1 species
UACAGAGGGUGCAAGCGUUAAUCGGAAUUACUGGGCGUAAAGCGUGCGUAGACGGUUAUGUAAGUCAGGUGUGAAAGCCCCGGGCUCAACCUGGGAAUUGCAUUUGAGACUGCAUAGCUAGGGUGCGGAAGAGGGAAGCGGAAUUUCCGGUGUAGCGGUGAAAUGCGUAGAUAUCGGAAAGAACACCAGUGGCGAAAGCGGCUUCCUGGUCCAGCACCGACGUUCAGGCACGAAAGCGUGGGGAGCAAACAGG